rnacentral:misc_RNA from 1 species
GAUGAAGAACGCAGCGAAAUGCGAUAAGUAAUGUGAAUUGCAGAAUUCCGUGAAUCAUCGAAUCUUUGAACGCACAUUGCGCCCCCUGGUAUUCCGGGGGGCAUGCCUGUUCGAGCGUCAUUUCACCACUCAAGCCUCGCUUGGUAUUGGGCAACGCGGUCCGCCGCGUGCCUCAAAUCGACCGGCUGGGUCUUCUGUCCCCUAAGCGUUGUGGAAACUAUUCGCUAAAGGGUGUUCGGGAGGCUACGCCGUAAAACAACCCCAUUUCUAAGGUUGACCUCGGAUCAGGUAGGGAUACCCGCUGAACUUAAGCAUAUCAAUAAGCGGAGGA